UAGGAAAAAAGAAGGUGGAUAUUUUUUCAUGCAAAGUAUUCAGGAUGGACAACUUUUGCUUUCUUACGGAGCAGUACUUCUGGAGCUGAAACCUGUUCAUGUGUUGCUGCCUUCUCCAGCACUUAGACCUUUCCACAGUCACCUCUGGCAGCUGUUUUUCAGUUGUGUUUUGAUUGUUUUUGGCAAUAAGCCAUUUCUGGACUGUAGGGAGACAGUGAUCCAGAGCGGAGCAGGCACACAGACGGGAGAUCGUGUGCCACGGGACAGAUGUGUGUGCCACAGGAGAGGAGAUGUGUGUGUCACAGGACAGAUGUGUGUGCCACAGGACAGGAUAUGUCUGUCACAGGACAGGAGAUGUGUGUGCCACAGGCUCCAUCCCACGGCCAGCGGGAGCGGCCUGGGAAUUCACAGGCGCUUUCACAGCUGCUGAAAUCCUGCACGGUUGGCUCCAAAGCCACACUUCUUGCAUAACCAGAAAGGAAUUAACCAACCUGCCAAGGAAACUGCAUUCAAGGCUUUCUGCACAAAAUAACCGCGAUAGGAGAGCAGUGACUUGUAAAAGCAAGGCAAAACAAAGGCUUUGGAGAAGGACAAGAAUCUGAAGAGGAUCCUGGAAGUUUCAUGGAAAAGUUCUAAGGAUGUUUCUGACAAUUUCAAGGGGCUUUUUUCAAUAUUGUUCCAGUAACUAAUGGAAGUACAGACCUAACACCUGGACCCUGCUGUGUCUGCCACUGCCUAUGUCUUCAAGGAAAUGCAAAGCUCAUUAGUUUGUUUUCCAACCUCAGAUGUGCUCAAUAUGCUCCCACACCAUGUAACCAUCCAGCACUGAGCCUGUCCAGUCAGCAAGACAUCCUACUCCUACAGUGUGCUCUACUUAAUCCAACCAAUCAAUACUGACAACACUGAGAAUCAGGAAAGAAAUGUCAGGUAAUUAACUCUGAGCACCUUCUAAUUACUAUUACAUGAAAAGCACCCUUUCCUCACAUCCUUGACAUGUUAGGUUGGUUUUUGUCUUGUUCCAAGACUUCACAGAACAAACUGGGACUUUGCAAGGCCAGGCCUGGAGGGGAGUUUGGUACCACACUGAGACUGGCAGGGACUGGGACCCUGAAGGUAAAUUUGGCACUAAAAAAUGCUGAGUUUGCACAUCUUUAUAUUCUCUUUAGAAACAAGUCCUAUCGCCAUCACAGCUUUUUAAAAGGAGGUGUUGGCAGAAUACAUAACCCAAGGGUUUUCACCAGUUCAAAAUUCCAGCAGAGACAUGGGAGAAGCAAAUCUGCUUUGGGAUUUUCCAGAAUUGGAGGCACAAAGCUCAUGGAAUGUUUUAUUUAUCUGGUAAAAUGGUGCACAAGGAUUUUUAGUGGCUUUCCUUUUUCCUGUGUAAAAUAAACAUCUUUAGUAAAGAUGUCCAGGUCCAAACAGGAUCAGGGAAAGUUCCAAAGUAGAGCUGGGUUGCAUUUUAUAAUAAAACAGCAGAAAAUCCAAUCACGAAAAGUAGGUGGAAGAUGACAUCUGCAAGAGAAACACAGGCUGUAUGUGAGUACUUCCCUGUCAGCUCCCUUUCACCUCCUCUUCCCACCCCAUUCAAUAAAACUGCAUGGCCUAAUGUGGCUCUGUCAACAU